rnacentral:rRNA from 1 species
CAGCUUGCUGGGUGGAUUAGUGGCGAACGGGUGAGUAACACGUGAGUAACCUGCCCUUAACUCUGGGAUAAGCCUGGGAAACUGGGUCUAAUACCGGAUAGGAGCGUCCACCGCAUGGUGGGUGUUGGAAAGAUUUAUCGGUUUUGGAUGGACUCGCGGCCUAUCAGCUUGUUGGUGAGGUAAUGGCUCACCAAGGCGACGACGGGUAGCCGGCCUGAGAGGGUGACCGGCCACACUGGGACUGAGACACGGCCCAGACUCCUACGGGAGGCAGCAGUGGGGAAUAUUGCACAAUGGGCGAAAGCCUGAUGCAGCGACGCCGCGUGAGGGAUGACGGCCUUCGGGUUGUAAACCUCUUUCAGUAGGGAAGAAGCGAAAGUGACGGUACCUGCAGAAGAAGCACCGGCUAACUACGUGCCAGCAGCCGCGGUAAUACGUAGGGUGCGAGCGUUAUCCGGAAUUAUUGGGCGUAAAGAGCUCGUAGGCGGUUUGUCGCGUCUGUCGUGAAAGUCCGGGGCUUAACCCCGGAUCUGCGGUGGGUACGGGCAGACUAGAGUGCAGUAGGGGAGACUGGAAUUCCUGGUGUAGCGGUGGAAUGCGCAGAUAUCAGGAGGAACACCGAUGGCGAAGGCAGGUCUCUGGGCUGUAACUGACGCUGAGGAGCGAAAGCAUGGGGAGCGAACAGGAUUAGAUACCCUGGUAGUCCAUGCCGUAAACGUUGGGCACUAGGUGUGGGGACCAUUCCACGGUUUCCGCGCCGCAGCUAACGCAUUAAGUGCCCCGCCUGGGGAGUACGGCCGCAAGGCUAAAACUCAAAGGAAUUGACGGGGGCCCGCACAAGCGGCGGAGCAUGCGGAUUAAUUCGAUGCAACGCGAAGAACCUUACCAAGGCUUGACAUGUUCUCGAUCGCCGUAGAGAUACGGUUUCCCCUUUGGGGCGGGUUCACAGGUGGUGCAUGGUUGUCGUCAGCUCGUGUCGUGAGAUGUUGGGUUAAGUCCCGCAACGAGCGCAACCCUCGUUCCAUGUUGCCAGCACGUCGUGGUGGGGACUCAUGGGAGACUGCCGGGGUCAACUCGGAGGAAGGUGAGGACGACGUCAAAUCAUCAUGCCCCUUAUGUCUUGGGCUUCACGCAUGCUACAAUGGCCGGUACAAUGGGUUGCGAUACUGUGAGGUGGAGCUAAUCCCAAAAAGCCGGUCUCAGUUCGGAUUGGGGUCUGCAACUCGACCCCA